AACGCUAGCUACAGGCUUAACACAUGCAAGUCGAGGGGCAGCAUGGUCUUAGCUUGCUAAGGCCGAUGGCGACCGGCGCACGGGUGAGUAACACGUAUCCAACCUGCCGUCUACUCUUGGACAGCCUUCUGAAAGGAAGAUUAAUACAAGAUGGCAUCAUGAGUCCGCAUGUUCACAUGAUUAAAGGUAUUCCGGUAGACGAUGGGGAUGCGUUCCAUUAGAUAGUAGGCGGGGUAACGGCCCACCUAGUCUUCGAUGGAUAGGGGUUCUGAGAGGAAGGUCCCCCACAUUGGAACUGAGACACGGUCCAAACUCCUACGGGAGGCAGCAGUGAGGAAUAUUGGUCAAUGGGCGAGAGCCUGAACCAGCCAAGUAGCGUGAAGGAUGACUGCCCUAUGGGUUGUAAACUUCUUUUAUAAAGGAAUAAAGUCGGGUAUGGAUACCCGUUUGCAUGUACUUUAUGAAUAAGGAUCGGCUAACUCCGUGCCAGCAGCCGCGGUAAUACGGAGGAUCCGAGCGUUAUCCGGAUUUAUUGGGUUUAAAGGGAGCGUAGAUGGAUGUUUAAGUCAGUUGUGAAAGUUUGCGGCUCAACCGUAAAAUUGCAGUUGAUACUGGAUAUCUUGAGUGCAGUUGAGGCAGGCGGAAUUCGUGGUGUAGCGGUGAAAUGCUUAGAUAUCACGAAGAACUCCGAUUGCGAAGGCAGCCUGCUAAGCUGCAACUGACAUUGAGGCUCGAAAGUGUGGGUAUCAAACAGGAUUAGAUACCCUGGUAGUCCACACGGUAAACGAUGAAUACUCGCUGUUUGCGAUAUACUGCAAGCGGCCAAGCGAAAGCGUUAAGUAUUCCACCUGGGGAGUACGCCGGCAACGGUGAAACUCAAAGGAAUUGACGGGGGCCCGCACAAGCGGAGGAACAUGUGGUUUAAUUCGAUGAUACGCGAGGAACCUUACCCGGGCUUAAAUUGCAGAUGAAUUACGGUGAAAGCCGUAAGCCGCAAGGCAUCUGUGAAGGUGCUGCAUGGUUGUCGUCAGCUCGUGCCGUGAGGUGUCGGCUUAAGUGCCAUAACGAGCGCAACCCUUGUUGUCAGUUACUAACAGGUUCCGCUGAGGACUCUGACAAGACUGCCAUCGUAAGAUGUGAGGAAGGUGGGGAUGACGUCAAAUCAGCACGGCCCUUACGUCCGGGGCUACACACGUGUUACAAUGGGGGGUACAGAGGGCCGCUACCACGCGAGUGGAUGCCAAUCCCCAAAACCUCUCUCAGUUCGGACUGGAGUCUGCAACCCGACUCCACGAAGCUGGAUUCGCUAGUAAUCGCGCAUCAGCCACGGCGCGGUGAAUACGUUCCCGGGCCUUGUACACACCGCCCGUCAAGCCAUGGGAGCCGGGGGUACCUGAAGUGCGUAACCGCGAGGAGCGCCCUAGGGUAAAACUA
rnacentral:rRNA from 1 species